rnacentral:lncRNA from 1 species
AUUUAAAUGAGUAGUUAUUGUUGCAAACUCCAUUAGAAAUUUGAAUUGAUAUCAGUUUUGAAAAAGGGAAACGGGGAUGUGAAAAAAAAGGGGGGGGGGGGGUUAAAUUUUUUCUCAUUUCAGAUUUCAUAAAUAAAAAGAAAAUUUCUUCAACAUUUUUUUGAGAGGAUUAAUAUUCAACAGCAUAGUGAAUUGCUCAAAGGCAAAAAAAACCUUUUAAGUUCAUUAGACCACAUUCAUUCUGUGUCAGAAACCUAUGCUGUGUCAACUAUUUAAUUUUAGAUUUAAAAAGUUUGAAGAAGAAAUCUUUAAUUGAUUUGUAAAAUCUUGGCAUUUGUUUUGUGUAAAAAAAAACCAUGUAAUGUCAAAAAUUUGAUCACAAUCCAAAUUCAGAGCUGUAUCAUGCUUGAAUGUUUUGUCCAUACUUGCCCCAACUGUUCAGGGUUCGACCUCUGCGGUCGUAUAAAGCUGCGCCCUGCGGAGCACCUGGUUGUAUUUUGUAAACACUCAAAUAGAUAUGGUGUUAAAUUUGUAGAAUGUUUUUGAAGCUUAAAAUGAAAAUGCAUUUAUAUAUACUUUUUGGCUUCAGUGUCAGUGAUCAAAACUGACUACCUACCGAGCUGGCCCCAAAAAGUUCAUUUUUGGGUAACUUUUAAACUUGUUAGUUCAUGAUAUUUUUGCACAACACAGACCAUUUAUAUGUUUAUACAAAUAGGUUAUGUUUGCUUCUAUCUAAGUACAUUUGUACUGUAUAAUGGUUCUUUGAUUGCUUUUACUUAAUUAUCCUUCAUUGUUAUACUACGGCAAAAAAAAAUUUGCGUCGUAUAAUGCUAUCAUGUUGUCGUCGUCUGCGUCAUCGUAGUCCGAAGACGCAUUUAGUUUCCAGACAAUAACUUAAGUUUUAGUGAAUGGAGCUCUAUAAAUUUUUACCAGAAAGUUCAAUACCACUUAAGGAAGAUUUUUUGUGAUUGAUUUUGGGGGUUAUGGUCCCAAUAGUUAAGUAAUUAGGGGCCAAAAGGGAGGUCCAAAAUGAGCAUUUUUGCAGUUUUCAAACAAUAACUUGUGUUUAAGUGUAUGAAUCUAUCUGAAAUUAUUCCAAAAGUUUUCAUACCAAAAGCAGUGUAAGGGAGGUAAUACAAAAAAAUUUAACGUACAAUGUUGGGUAUGUUCAGAUAUACCUCCCUUACACUUCUUAUAAAUCAUGUAUUAAGGAAUGUCAGGUUUUGGACUAAUUACAAAAAAAGGGGGGGGGGUGGUAGUGGUUUUCAAUUUUUUUUUCUCCAAAUUUCAAAUUUUUGAAAGAAAAGUUUGAAGAAGAAAUCUUAAAUUGCAUAUAUUGCACAAUAGAUUUGUAAGAUCUUAACUUUUGUUUUGUGUCAGAAACUCAUAUUAUGUCAAAAAUUUGAUCACAAUCCAAAUUCAGAGCUGUAUAGAGCUAGUAUGUUGUGUCCAUACUUUCCCCAAUUGUUCAGGGUUUCGACAUCUGUGGUCGUAUAAAGCUGCGCCCUGUGGAGCACCUGGUUGUGUAUUUUGUAUUAGAAUUUUGCAAACUUCAAAACAGUGGUGACGUUGCUUCGUUAAACUGAAGUUGUUGCUAAACUAUCAACAUAGCCUAGUAAAGAGGAUGUAACCUCUGUUUCGGAGUUUGAGAAUUUUGUUCUUUAAAACAUGUUAUUCCCACUGAGAUUAGGGCAUUAACUCAGGGCAAGAAUACUCAGAUAUCAAGUCCUCGAUAAAUAUUUGUCUCACAUGUGAUGAAAGUCGCUGAAGUGAGACCUAUGUGUGUUUUUCCUGACAUUGGUAGCAUCAACAAUUAUUUAAGUUUUUGAUUAGGUUACACAUGCAAGACAUGUUUGUUUGUUAAAAAUGUAUUAUACUUAGAUUAGAUUUCUGUAAUGUAAAAUGAAUUAUUGUUUGAGUAAGUGUUGUAUAUGUUCAGUUCAAAAGCUCAAUGCAUGCUUAUGUUAUGUUGUUACUAAUCUUGCCAACUUUAAAUCAAGAUUAUUUGGAUUUGCUCUUUUUAAAACAAACACAUUGAUCAAUUUAUAAAUUUAUAUUCUUCUUUUUGUAUUACCUACUAUUGUUAUUUAUAAGAUUGUUAUACAUGUUUUGUUAUCUGAAAGUGUUAUAGUUUUGUUUG